rnacentral:lncRNA from 1 species
CUCUACCUCUGGUAUAAUGGCCGAUGUGGACAAUCUCUUAGUUUGGCCAGCCGGCAAUAGUUCAGUUCGACUUCGUUGUAAACCAGGAUACCAUAUCCCCCUUUUAACCCUCUGCUGACAAACUCGUACGGGUCUAGGGUAUAAGUGCUAUGGGCCAUUUUAAAGGCAAUAAGUACCUCUACCUCUGGUAUGAUUGCCCACGUGGAGAAUCUCUUAGUUUGUCCAGCCUGCAAUAGUUCAUUUCGAAUUUGUGAUAUACCAGGGUACCCAACUUACCCUUUCCUGACUAACUCGUACGGG